AUGGUUGGGAUAGCUCAGUUGGUAGAGCAGAGG
rnacentral:tRNA from 9 species